GUCUACGACCAUGCUACCCUGAACAAGCCUGAUCCCCGUCUGAUCUCGGAAGCUGAACAGGGUCAGGCCUGGUUAGUACUUGGAUGGGAGACCACCUAGGAAGACCAGGUGCUGUAGGCA
rnacentral:rRNA from 1 species